rnacentral:rRNA from 1 species
AGACUUCGGGUCUCGGCGCACUGCUCAGCAACACGUGGAUAACCUAACCUCAGGAGGGGAAUAACCUCGGGAAACUGAGACUAAUACCCCAUAAGCUCAGCAGGCUGGAAUGCAGCUGAACUGAAAGCUCUGGCGCCUGAGGAUGGGUCUGCGGCCUAUCAGGUAGUAGUGAGGGUAAUGUCCUCACUAGCCAGCUACGGGUACGGGCCGUGGGAGUGGUUGCCCGGAGAUGGACUCUGAGACACGAGUCCAGGCCCUACGGGGCGCAGCAGGCGCGAAAACUUCACAAUGCGGGAAACCGCGAUGAGGGUAUUCCAAGUGCCAAUACUUUGUAUUGGCUUUUCAUCUGUCUAACAAACUGGUGGAAUAAGGGCUGGGUAAGUCUGGUGCCAGCCGCCGCGGUAAUACCAGCAGCUCAAGUGGUGGCCGUUAUUAUUGAGCCUAAAGCGUCCGUAGCCGGGCUAGUAAAUCUUUGGGUAAAUCGGACAGCUUAACUGUCCGAAUUCCGGAGAGACUGCUAGUCUUGGGACUGGGAGAGGUCGGAGGAACUUCGAGGGUAGGGGUGAAAUCCUGUAAUCCUCGGGGGACCACCAGUGGCGAAGGCGUCUGACUAGAACGGAUCCGACGGUAAGGGACGAAGCUCUGGGGCGCAAACGGGAUUAGAUACCCCGGUAGUCCAGGGUGUAAACGCUGCAGGCUUGGUGUCGGGGGUCCUACGUGGGCACUCGGUGCCGGAGAGAAGUUGUUAAGCCUGCCGCUUGGGGGAGUACGCUCCGCAAGAGUGAAACUUAAAAGGAAUUGGGCGGGGGGAGCACCCGCAACGGGG